rnacentral:rRNA from 1 species
GACGUAGGGCGCGAGCGUUGUCCGGAUUUAUUGGGCGGAAAGAGCUCGUAGGCGGCUUGUUGCGUCGACUGUGAAAACCCGCGGCUUAACCGCGGGCUUGCAGUUGAUACGGGCAGGCUAGAGUUCGGUAGGGGAGACUGGAAUUCCUGGUGUAGCGGUGAAAUGCGCAGAUAUCAGGAGGAACACCGGUGGCGAAGGCGGGUCUCUGGGCCGAUACUGACGCUGAGGAGCGAAAGCGUGGGGAGCGAACAGG